rnacentral:lncRNA from 1 species
CACAAAGAUCCUAGUUCUGAAAUACAACUUGUUCCCAGGUUUGGCAACAACCAUAUUCCAAUUAAAAGUUAAAGCCAGUCACUAAUUGCAAGCCCCAGAUAAGAGAAGUUAAGAUGUUGCGGUCACCAACGUAGGGUAUUAUUCUCGUUAGCUCGCCGUGAGACUGUCGCAGCAGAAGUCGAGGCGUGAGAUUGCCUAUCCAGUCUCAUCACAUUCUCAAACCGGUCUAGGACAACAGAAUCGAUUGCUGCGGUCCCGGUAGUAUUAUAAUGCACCCUUGAGCGCACUCCAAGCUGUG